ensembl:lncRNA
CCCGAGUGGAGUGCCGUACAUCGUUUAUAAGAGGUGCCCCAGACUCUUAAAGAGGUUAUGGAAACUAAUCAAGGUCAUCUGGAGGAGGGGAAGGUGGCACAGUAGUGGCGACAUGCAGAGGGUGUCUGGAUCCCGAAGGAGGAGAGCUCAAGCACCAUCGAGCAGUUCAGAGUUAUCUCGCUCCUCAGUGUUGAGGGAAAAAUUUUCUUUAGUAUUCUUGCCCGACGCCUGACGGAGUUCCUUCAGAGGAACACGUACAUCGACACCUCAGUGCAGAAGGGCGGAGUCCCAAAGAUUCCAGGAUGCAUCGAGCAUACAGGAGUUGUCACCCAGCUGUUACGUGAGGCAUGUGAAGGCAAAGGGCAUCUGGCAGUCCUCUGGCUCGAUCUCGCUAACGCCUAUGAGUCAAUCCCACAUAGGCUGGUAGAAACCUCACUUGACCGUCAUCACGUUCCAGAUAAGAUCAAGAACCUCAUACUGGAUUAUUACAAUUCUUUCAGUUUGAGAGUCACCUCUGGAGCAGAAACAUCAGCAUUUCAUCGGCUUGAGAAGGGCAUUAUCACCGGAUGUACUAUUUCCGUGACAUUGUUUGCCUUGGCGAUGAAUAUGCUGGUUAAGUCAGCAGAGGUGGAGUGCAGAGGUCCACUCACCAAGUCAGGUAUACGGCAGCCCACCAUCAGAGCAUUCAUGGAUGAUUUGACGGUGACAACAACAUCGGUUCCGGAGUGCAGAUGGAUCCUCCAGGGGCUCGAGCAUCUCAUCAACUGGGCCCGGAUGGAUUUUAAACCAGCCAAGUCCAGGUCCCUGGUGUUGAAGAAAGGGAAGGUUACAGACCAGUUCCGCUUCUCACUUGGAGACAUUCAGAUACCAUCUGUCGGAGAAAAGCCAGUCAAGAGUCUGGGCAAGAUCUACGACUGCACCCUGAAAGACACCGCAUCACUCCAGACAACCACUAAACAGUUGGGAAUCUGGUUGACGGCUGUGGACAAGUCAGGUCUGCCAGGGAAAUAUAAAGCCUGGAUCUACCAGCAUGCCAUCCUGCCCUGACUGCUUUGGCCACUUCUUGUCUAUGACAUGCCAAUAACCACCGUUGAAUGCUUCGAGAGGAAAGUCAGCUGUUCCUUGCAGAAGUGGUUAGGCCUACCACGAAGCCUCAGUGAUAUCGCCUUGUACAGGAGGAAGAACA